rnacentral:rRNA from 1 species
CGCGGUAAUACAGAGGGUGCGAGCGUUAAUCGGAUUUACUGGGCGUAAAGCGUGCGUAGGCGGCUUUUUAAGUCGGAUGUGAAAUCCCCGAGCUUAACUUGGGAAUUGCAUUCGAUACUGGGAAGCUAGAGUAUGGGAGAGGAUGGUAGAAUUCCAGGUGUAGCGGUGAAAUGCGUAGAGAUCUGGAGGAAUACCGAUGGCGAAGGCAGCCAUCUGGCCUAAUACUGACGCUGAGGUACGAAAGCAUGGGGAGCAAACAGGAUUAGAUAC